rnacentral:tRNA from 1 species
AGUAAAAUCAGUUAAAAAAGCUAUUGGGCCCAUGCCCCAAAAAUGAUGGUACAACCCCUCUUUUACUA